rnacentral:rRNA from 1 species
AUUGAACGCUGGCGGCAGGCCUAACACAUGCAAGUCGAGCGAGCGGCGGACGGGUGAGUAAUGUAUGGGGACUGCCUGAUAGAGGGGGAUAACUACUGGAAACGGUAGCUAAUACCGCAUACUAUCGGAUAAUCCAUAUGGGAGUAGCUAGUAGGUGAGGUAAUGGCUCACCUAGGCGACGAUCCCUAGCUGGUCUGAGAGGAUGAUCAGCCACACUGGGACUGAGACACGGCCCAGACUCCUACGGAGGCAGCAGUGGGGAAUAUUGCACAAUGGGCGCAACCCUGAUGCAGCCAUGCCGCGUGUAUGAAGAAGGCCCUAGGGUUGUAAAGUACUUUCAGUCGGGAGGCGUUCCCGUCCUCAGAAGCACCGGCUAACUCCGUGCCAGCAGCCGCGGUAAUAC